AUUUGUUUUCCCUUUUCUCCACUGUAUUUCCUACCCACCUUGACACCAAAACACAAGCUUCAAACAAAAUUUUUAUUGGAUUCAUAUCAUGUUCUUAAUCUCAGUUUUCAUUACUCCUUCAUGAUUUAUGUUAGAAAUUCUCGACAUUGUUAUUAUUGCGGCUUGCUUAUCAGAGUCUUGGAGUAGUGUAUGGUGACCUUGGGACAUCUCCCUUGUAUGUCUACAAUAAUACAUUUCCCCACGGAAUUGGCGAUCCGGAAGAUGUCAUUGGAGCACUCUCAUUAAUUAUUUACUCUCUUACGCUUAUCCCUCUCCUCAAGUAUGUUUUCAUAGUAUGUAGAGCAAAUGACAAUGGCCAAGAAUACUUGAAGCUGAAUCCCCUAGCAUACGUGCCCACGCUGGUUGAUGGAGAUGCAGUAAUUGUCGACUCUUUUGCUAUCAUAAUGUAUCUGGAAGAGAAGUAUCCCCAACGAGCAUUGUUGCCUCAGGAUCAUCAGAAAAAAGCAAUCAACUAUCAGGGAGAGCGAGUAUGCUGCCUGGACCCUUGUCAAUGGAUAUGCGUUGAAUCAUGUUACCAUAUCUACCCAUUGCUUGAGAUCAAAUCUGAGAAGCAUCGGAAAACUAAAUCAAUUUAUUGAGGAAAAUGGUUUCAAUUUGAACUAUGAAGGGGGUAUUCUAAAAGGUUGGGACGCUGUACGGAAAAUGAGAAGAUGAGGCAAUCCUAAUAUUGGAUUUGUGUUGUACAACAAGUGAAAUUUCUUUUGUGACGUAUGCUGCUUAAGAAUGUAAGCUUCAACUUUGUUUUGCAUGCAUAAAAUAACAUGACUUAUAUCAUAUUUAUGUUGACUCGGUUUGAUGGUAUUGCUUCCUUUGUUUUGCUCUUUUAUAUAAAAAGAAUGGUAGGAAAAUGCCCGUACAAGGUACGGGCAUGGCCAUCUAGUAUGAAUAUAUAUGAAAAUUGUAAAUAAGGUAUACCCUAUACAAUUAGUUAUGCAGGAAAUUUGUUUUUAAGAUGUAUGUUGUUG